GAUUAAGUUAUUAAGGGCGCACGGUGGAUGCCUUGGCACUAGAAGCCGAUGAAGGACGUUACUAACGACGAUAUGCUUUGGGGAGCUGUAAGUAAGCUUUGAUCCAGAGAUUUCCGAAUGGGGAAACCCAGCAUGAGUUAUGUCAUGUUAUCGAUAUGUGAAUACAUAGCAUAUCAGAAGGCACACCCGGAGAACUGAAACAUCUUAGUACCCGGAGGAAGAGAAAGAAAAUUCGAUUCCCUUAGUAGCGGCGAGCGAAACGGGAAGAGCCCAAACCAACAAGCUUGCUUGUUGGGGUUGUAGGACACUCUAUACGGAGUUACAAAGGACGACAUUAGACGAAUCAUCUGGAAAGAUGAAUCAAAGAAGGUAAUAAUCCUGUAGUCGAAAAUGUUGUCUCUCUUGAGUGGAUCCUGAGUACGACGGAGCACGUGAAAUUCCGUCGGAAUCUGGGAGGACCAUCUCCUAAGGCUAAAUACUCUCUAGUGACCGAUAGUGAACCAGUACCGUGAGGGAAAGGUGAAAAGCACCCCGGAAGGGGAGUGAAAUAGAACCUGAAACCGUGUGCUUACAAGUAGUCAGAGCCCGUUAAUGGGUGAUGGCGUGCCUUUUGUAGAAUGAACCGGCGAGUUACGAUUUGAUGCAAGGUUAAGCAGUAAAUGUGGAGCCGUAGCGAAAGCGAGUCUGAAUAGGGCGUUUAGUAUUUGGUCGUAGACCCGAAACCAGGUGAUCUACCCUUGGUCAGGUUGAAGUUCAGGUAACACUGAAUGGAGGACCGAACCGACUUACGUUGAAAAGUGAGCGGAUGAACUGAGGGUAGCGGAGAAAUUCCAAUCGAACCUGGAGAUAGCUGGUUCUCUCCGAAAUAGCUUUAGGGCUAGCCUCAAGUGAUGAUUAUUGGAGGUAGAGCACUGUUUGGACGAGGGGCCCCUCUCGGGUUACCGAAUUCAGACAAACUCCGAAUGCCAAUUAAUUUAACUUGGGAGUCAGAACAUGGGUGAUAAGGUCCGUGUUCGAAAGGGAAACAGCCCAGACCACCAGCUAAGGUCCCAAAAUAUAUGUUAAGUGGAAAAGGAUGUGGCGUUGCCCAGACAACUAGGAUGUUGGCUUAGAAGCAGCCAUCAUUUAAAGAGUGCGUAAUAGCUCACUAGUCGAGUGACACUGCGCCGAAAAUGUACCGGGGCUAAACAUAUUACCGAAGCUGUGGAUUGUCCUUUGGACAAUGGUAGGAGAGCGUUCUAAGGGCGUUGAAGCAUGAUCGUAAGAACAUGUGGAGCGCUUAGAAGUGAGAAUGCCGGUGUGAGUAGCGAAAGACGGGUGAGAAUCCCGUCCACCGAUUGACUAAGGUUUCCAGAGGAAGGCUCGUCCGCUCUGGGUUAGUCGGGUCCUAAGCUGAGGCCGACAGGCGUAGGCGAUGGAUAACAGGUUGAUAUUCCUGUACCACCUAUAAUCGUUUUAAUCGAUGGGGGGACGCAGUAGGAUAGGCGAAGCGUGCGAUUGGAUUGCACGUCUAAGCAGUAAGGCUGAGUAUUAGGCAAAUCCGGUACUCGUUAAGGCUGAGCUGUGAUGGGGAGAAGACAUUGUGUCUUCGAGUCGUUGAUUUCACACUGCCGAGAAAAGCCUCUAGAUAGAAAAUAGGUGCCCGUACCGCAAACCGACACAGGUAGUCAAGAUGAGAAUUCUAAGGUGAGCGAGCGAACUCUCGUUAAGGAACUCGGCAAAAUGACCCCGUAACUUCGGGAGAAGGGGUGCUCUUUAGGGUUAACGCCCAGAAGAGCCGCAGUGAAUAGGCCCAAGCGACUGUUUAUCAAAAACACAGGUCUCUGCUAAACCGUAAGGUGAUGUAUAGGGGCUGACGCCUGCCCGGUGCUGGAAGGUUAAGAGGAGUGGUUAGCUUCUGCGAAGCUACGAAUCGAAGCCCCAGUAAACGGCGGCCGUAACUAUAACGGUCCUAAGGUAGCGAAAUUCCUUGUCGGGUAAGUUCCGACCCGCACGAAAGGCGUAACGAUUUGGGCACUGUCUCAACGAGAGACUCGGUGAAAUCAUAGUACCUGUGAAGAUGCAGGUUACCCGCGACAGGACGGAAAGACCCCGUGGAGCUUUACUGUAGCCUGAUAUUGAAAUUCGGCACAGCUUGUACAGGAUAGGUAGGAGCCUUUGAAACGUGAGCGCUAGCUUACGUGGAGGCGCUGGUGGGAUACUACCCUAGCUGUGUUGGCUUUCUAACCCGCACCACUUAUCGUGGUGGGAGACAGUGUCAGGCGGGCAGUUUGACUGGGGCGGUCGCCUCCUAAAAGGUAACGGAGGCGCUCAAAGGUUCCCUCAGAAUGGUUGGAAAUCAUUCAUAGAGUGUAAAGGCAUAAGGGAGCUUGACUGCGAGACCUACAAGUCGAGCAGGGUCGAAAGACGGACUUAGUGAUCCGGUGGUUCCGCAUGGAAGGGCCAUCGCUCAACGGAUAAAAGCUACCCCGGGGAUAACAGGCUUAUCUCCCCCAAGAGUUCACAUCGACGGGGAGGUUUGGCACCUCGAUGUCGGCUCAUCGCAUCCUGGGGCUGUAGUCGGUCCCAAGGGUUGGGCUGUUCGCCCAUUAAAGCGGUACGCGAGCUGGGUUCAGAACGUCGUGAGACAGUUCGGUCCCUAUCCGUCGUGGGCGUAGGAAAUUUGAGAUGAGCUGUCCUUAGUACGAGAGGACCGGGAUGGACAUACCUCUGGUGUACCAGUUGUCGUGCCAACGGCAUAGCUGGGUAGCUAUGUGUGGACGGGAUAAGUGCUGAAAGCAUCUAAGCAUGAAGCCCCCCUCAAGAUGAGAUUUCCCAACUUCGGUUAUAAGAUCCCUUAAAGAUGAUGAGGUUAAUAGGUUCGAGGUGGAAGCAUGGUGACAUGUGUAGCUGACGAAUACUAAUCGAUCGAAGACUUAAUCAA
rnacentral:rRNA from 1 species